AGGAGUUCCCUUCUCAGGCAUGAAUUUUCGGCUUAUAGUAGGGCGGUUGGGGAGGUAGCCUGCAUAAGGGUACUGUCCAAAGUUGACAGCUGCAUGGAGAGCAGAAGCAGUCCAUAUGAUGAUAGUGCAUGUUUCUACUAGGUCUUCGCGAGUCUGCAUUUUAGGCCACCAGGGCUCAUCUUUUUUGUCACCAUGGCCUUCCUCUACAAGCUCCUUCCACCAGGAUUGGAGUUCAGUGUCUUUUUGAAUUAUGUCAUCAGUCUUGUAGUAGAAAGAGCAACAGUCUUCAACCCAAGUUUUAAUUGCAAACCAGAUUUCAAUCCCAUCAACAGCAUAUGGAUAGUCCUCGAUCAGUAGGCGAAGACCAUGUGGAGAAUUUGCAUCCUUGAUUGCAACUCCUCUGUUGAUCAAAGGCAAAGCAAUGUAAUUAGAAUAAGGAAUGGAUAUUUAUUACUUAUAUUGUGCUCAUUUGAGUUACUUAUGCAGUAGCUAAUAACUCAAAAAGUGUAGAGUUUUGUUUACCUCUUGAUGAGAUCUUCAGGGAAAGCUUGCUCAGUGAAAACCCAAUCCUUAUAAACCACUGAAGACAUCUCCAUGGCAUACCUAGCUGGAAAAACUGUCGUCUCCAGAACGCCGCCAGCAUUAAUCAGGAUUUGCCUGGCAAAUGCAUUUAUGUUCAUGGUGUCACGGAAGUGAGGAUGCAGAAGUUUGUAAAUUGGAUGAACCACGCUUAGCUGUCUGUUUGUAGCUAUUACAACUGGCUCACACACUGCAUGGGUGUUCAACCUGUAGGCAAAAAAUUAAAGGAUUAUCAGAAACCCAUUCAAAGUAAUAUGAUGAAUUUAAUUUUAAAGCUUUCUUUGUUUGAAAGAUUAAUACCAGUGACUGAUAAGUUGAUGAUAUCCAGAGUCAUUUACAGCCACAUAAGCUUUAGCCAGUUGCCAUAUGGAGCCUUCUACACCUUCUUCAGAUGGUGUAUAUACUUUACUAAUGCGACCAAAUCGAUCUCCAUCAGGAUGAGGCAAGCUUAAUUCAAUCACCAAUGGCUUCAAAGUUCCAUCACUUUUCAAGAAAAGGAUUGUUCUGCUAGCAUAGAUCUUGUUCGAAGUUGAGUUUAUCCGCCUCAGGUAUGGCAUCAAUGCAUCAUGAUGAUCUAAUAUGAAUAACUUGUUCUGCUUGAACGCCUAUCCAACCAAAUUCAUUUUCAUCAUUAUGAAAUGAUAUAAAAUCAACAUAAGCUAAUUGCAAUGUAAAGGAAGCAAAUCCAAGAUAUUACCUCAUCCACUGUUAGUCCAUCCAUGGUAUUCCCUAUAUCUUGUUCUGUUAUUGUACUAGUUUGAUCACCGUAAACUUUUGGGUCUAGUUUGCUUGCUGGUGGAAAUUCCUGCAGUUCCGUUAGAAGCAGAUAUGGUUAAAGAUGAACGAAAUUGACCCUCGAAAGUUUUGUUUUCUUUUUGUCCAUUAUCAUUGCAAAACAUCAUACAAAAAUGUUGUGAAGAUUACUUGGAGACGACGGAUGUUGACAGGGUUCACUCCAGCCAGCAUUUCUCUGGCAAAUUCUUCAUCUGUCCUCCAAGCAGAUUUAUCCUCUGCUCCAAAUCAUUAAAACAUCACAAUUAGAUAAAAGGAACUAGUACAUGAUAUGGUAGGCUAUUGCUUAAAGACUCUCAAUUUAGAAUUUAAUAUUGGUGGAACCAUAUACCUUUGAUCACUUGAGGCAUGGGGAAUCUGAGCAAUUGUGCACUGUCAGUUCGGAAAAUUUCCUUGAGCAUCUCUGCAGGGAUGUUGUCUCCGAUAUCCUUCAAUAAACCUUCUGGCAAGGGAAUGCCUCCUUCAUAGAGUUUAAGAACAUCCUCAAAGCUGUCGAACUCGUUAGGAGUCUUAUCAAACAGGGCUUCUAGCUCCGGUCUAAUGAAUUGAGCUAUGGAUUUCAGUGCAUAAGCCAGGAAGUCUGAUAACUUCAAGUGUCCAAAUCGUUCAUCUCUUGGCACAUAAAUGUUUAAGCUCAUAAGAAGUGGCAACCUACUCUCGCUGUUAGAAUCUAUUGGAAUAAGAUCAGAAAAAUCUUAGUGAUAAUUACAACAUCAGUUAUUUAAAAUCCAAAUUAGAAUAUCAACUUUUACAGUAGAACAAUACAAAAUAAUAAUAAGAUCCUUCUUGUGACUGCUAAUCAAUGCUUUGAGGAAGAAAAUAUAGAGAGAGAUAUUUAAAUGGCUAACCUGUCUCUGUUGCUGGUCGGCCAGUUCUUCCCCUGCGAGGGUAAGGGUACUUGCUAGACCCUCCCAGCGUAGGACGGGCGUAUUUGGGACCCUUAUCAGGGUUCCCUAGAUCAUUGUAGUAAGCAUAGUCAUAGACCCUGUCCCAUUCCUGGAGCUCUCCCUUUCCAUCUCCUCUCAAAUGUACUAGUUCUUCUUCUCUGUAUUUUUGCAGCGGCAAUGGUGUUUCACUUGGGAGAAAUGUCUGCACAAAUAUAUUGCAGGCAUGAACUUUUGUCUUUAACUUACAAUACAAGUCACUAAUAUACUCAUAACAUACUAGGCUUGCACUAAGAAGUUAGAACUGCCAUCAGCUACAAUGAAUGGUGUGAAUUAUUCGUUACCUUGUUAACGAAGAAAACACGGUCCUUCGUGUAUUUUUCUGCAGGAUACACCCAUGAGUUGCAAACAAAGUGGACCCGGCCCUCACCAGGAACAUCUUCAAGGGUGACAGUCUUAAGGAAGAAUUCAGUGUGAUGAUUGUUUAUUAUUAAGAAGGCUCCUGGAACUCCUAUUUCGUCUUCCCAGUCAAAGGUAACCUUGAAUGCAGACUCUCCUGCUGUUAAAGGAGUGAUUGUGGUGAUCCAGUCUUCCAGAUAUGCUGGAUUUCCAAGUUUCCCCUGAAACCCUUUUUCUACAAAAACACGUUAGUUCAGAAAAUAAUUGUAUAUCAGGUCUUAGUUGGAGCCCGCCAUUUUAUGCAAGUUGCUAUAAUUGUCAAUGCAUGUCAAGGUCUCAUAACUCAUAAACUUAGUUUGAGAAAUAACUGCCGCUGUUUUUGUUGGUGUAUAGGUGUAGCUGCUGUGAUGGAAUUAGAAUAUGAAGGUUCUAUUCUUGUUAGGAAGGCUGCCUUGGAUCAUAGUCCAAGUGUACAGCAGAGAAUGUAAUAGCAUUUUGCCACCUGUCAUUAUCUUAUAGGGUAAUGAUUGAAUGGCUAGAUUUAGUGAUGUAAUAGGGAAUAUCUCCUCCCUAACGGUUUUUGUCAGUGUCAUGAUAUAUACAUGUUUUGGUGCUGGGCUGAUAAAGCUAGCAUUCUUCUAAAAGCUCUCUCUCUCUCACACACAGAAAUCUGACCUCUCUUUACUCAAAAGCUCUCUGCAUUUUCAUUGAGAUUUAUUACAUGUUUUGAUUGAAUCUAUAUGCAUGAUAAUGUUCUGAAUAUGCUAACAGUUUUUUCAGAACAUUCAAACACAUCCCAAAAAGAAUUGGUUCUGAAUGAAAACCAUAUAAUCUAAAAGUCUCAAAAGCUAUGCCAACAGCCAACUACAUGGAGCUUCAUUUUCAGGUUAACUGGUAGCUAGACUGGUAGUUGGCGUUCACAGGUGAGGAUAAGAUUAACUUUCCUGUCUAAUCACUUCAUGACAUGGCCAUGAUUUAAAAAUCAUUCUCACAAGCUUAAUUAUGCCACUUAUUGAAAACUAAACUGGUUUUUUAAUCAUACUUUUUGUAACCCAAUUUUCCAAAUAUGCUGGCUUUCCAACUUUUCCUUGCGACCCCUUUUCUACAUAAACAGAUCAAAUUCAAGAAAUGUUCAAUUACAAGACCUCCAGAUCAAAUUGAGAUGUUCUGUUUAUCUCUUUUGUGGUUAUGGUGUUAAGAUGUGUGAAAACAGCAUAUUUAAAAAGAUUAUAUAUUUACUUCAAAAACACUAUAAUAAUUACUAGUAACUUGGCACCAUUAAAUCCCAUGUAAAAUCAUUGAAGCUAAUUAAUCUAGAAGCAAACUAAAAGGUAAAGAGCAUUCUCACCAGGGUCACCCUUAACGGAACUAAUGAGCCGCAGAGAAACCGCUUUGCCUAACAGCUCAUGAACACGAUCAAGAACCGAUGCUUUAAAAUCGUUCAAGUCCAGAACAUUCUUCUUCAUCAACACCACUCUCCCUUUGAUCUUCUUGCCCUCAUGACCUGUCUCAAACUUAGUUUUCUCUUCCUCCAUUUCUUUGGGGUGUGGAUCAAUGGUGAUGUUCUGGGAUGUCUUGGCAGCUGUCGAAGCCGAAGUCAACGGUUGAGAUCGUGUAACAUAAGUCAUGCACAAGAAACGAGGCAUUUUCAUAAAACUCGUCGGCAACAGAACUAGUCUGUGAUUGACAAAUGUUACAUGAUCUGGUUUGUUGACUGUUGCUGCAACAACUGAGUUCAACUGAGCUCUACAUGGAGCUUUUGUCCUGAAUUUCAUCAAAGGAGUGAGAUACUUAAAAUGCAGCAUGGGGUGUUCUGCUUCAAGAACUAUGGGGGAGUUAACAGAAAAAGGUUUGAAGAUCUCAUUGUGAAGAGAAUGGUGUGUGAUAUUUAUGAGAUGUGCGAGUUCACUGUUCAAUGUAUAUAAUAAUAUAAUACAUAAAAAUAAAUUUUUUUUUUUUUUAAAGACUUCGGCUCUACUUUGCGUGGUCUUCAGGGUUGACUUAAAUACCUAGUCCUUUUCUAUUUUUUGUGAUUCAAGGUAGCUUCCACCCUGUUAGUAUGAAAAUUGUAUUGUCAUUUCCUAGACUCUAGUAUUGGUUAGGAAUUAGUGUGUGAACGUGUUUUACUGGAAGCUUUGGUGCAACACAUUCAUUCUGGAUCUUUGAAGUAUGACAUGAUCGAUAUGAGAAACUGAGUUCAGGUAAAUCAUGACAUAAUCAUGCAUUCAUUAUAGGAUUCCUAGUUGGAGUUAUUUUCAAUCAAGUAUUUUCAUGUUAAUCCUAUUUUUAAUAGGAUUAGAUUUUAUAUCUUGAGAUUACUUUCCUAGUUAAACUCUAUUUUGAUUUAAGUUAAAAUAUUAUAUUGAUACCUAAUUGGUCUCUUUGAUAAAGAUUGUUAUCUUGAAUAACAAUCCUUGCAUAAGUUGACGAAUUGAUUAGUAUUAGUGGGCUGAAUGUUUUUUUACGUUUUUGAUCCUGUGCCCAUUUUUAAAUCACAACAAAUAGUCAUAGUUGAAUAGGUUUAGUGGGUGUUCAUAUUGCAUCAGGUUUAGGAGUCUUAAUUGAAGUGGGUUUGGCAUUUGUGGGAUGCUAUUUGACUAGGCAUAGGGAACCUUGAAUAAAAGGAGGACGCCUCUCCUUGGUUAUGUGGGCUUUUGAUAUUUUGUGUGGAGCAUAUAGAAUUCUAAGGAAAAAGCUGCUGUGCAUUUAUUUGAGAUAAAACAUCAAGUGUUAAACGUUUUACUUGGUGAUUUAUCAAACACUUUAAUCAUUCAUAUCGCAUUCAUAUGCAUAUCGGUGACUGAGAAAGUAGGGGACACCAAGAUCGUUGUGGCGGUCUUUCUCCGGUGAGCUUGAAUCGAUCGUGACCAGUAUCGAAUUCAACAUAAGGAGAGUUGGAAGAACUCCGGCGAGCUUGAAGCAAUCGUGACUAGUAUUGCGUUCAACAUAAAGAGUGUCGAAGAUCAUCCCGUGACAGAAGUUGAGUUACGAAGAAGUCGGUAAACAUUAUCUAGAAUGAGUCUAGGAUAAGUGUGUGAGUACUUCUUGUAAUCAUCGUUCUAUAGUGGAUUUGAGUUGGACUGAGGAGUCCCGUGGAUUUUCCCCAGAGGUAGGGUUUUACCACGUAAAAUAAUUAUCUGCGUGUUCUUUUAUUUUAAGCUUUGCACAUCUCAGGAUUGAUAACUAAUAUCAAUCCUGCUCCAAAGGUUGAUCAUUAUUUAUUGCAAAAAUUCGAAUUAACUUGUUUAACAUUCUCCAGGCAUAUAUAGAUAUCCUACAGGUAUUUUCACACCCUCUUUACCAAACCAACAGAUAUAGAGUUCAUAUUCUGCAAAUUUAACAUCUAGGAAUCUUGAGUAUCCUUGUUAAUCCCAAGUGUGUGUUUGGGGUUUGUCUUUGAUUGUGCAAAACAUUGACAAACAUACAAUUAUAGGCUAGACUUCAUUGUAUCCGUAAGACUUAUUUGCAUAUCCCCUUUGCACACAAACAAUGAGAAAAAAUAAAAUCUGAAAAAUAGCUUAAAUCUUACGUGCCCUUGAAACAAUCUUUCGUACUCUCAUUAUCAUUCCCCAUAAACAUUUCCAUUAAACCACGACCCACAGACCUUGUAUCAACAAAAUUUAGCCAAUCUGUCAUAUUUGAAAAUAACUUCACUGACAUGACUAUGAGAGUGAUGCAUGUCGACACCAUAACUAUAAAUCAAAUAUUAAAAUCCCCACCCACAAGGUAGGUUCUUCUGUACCUGAAAUAUUAAUAAUAUAUGCAAAUUCUUGGAAGUGGUCUUAAUGUCAAUGGGAAAUGCUAGAGAGUUUACUUGCAAGAGGUAUGAACACAUGAUAAAGAACGCAAAAUCCUUGCCAGUUGUGUUUCCUAUUUGUGCCACAUCAUCACUCAUUAUAGGCCAGUCAAAUUAGGUAGACUUCAAAGUCAAAAUACCCUCUACACGCUAUUAAAAGUCAAGUUAUUACCCCCCAAGCCCCGUUAAUCUCGAGAGAUUUUAGGUUCCUAACUCUAUUGAUCAUACAGUAACCGAGCUCUGUUGGCAAUGCGUAUUGCAGACCUGCAUAACAAGAACAUGUCUGAGAGGGAGGGAGAGAAGCAUUUGAGCAUUUGAGCUAGUCGGCAUUCUUUUAUACUUAUAGCACUAAUGUCAAAAGGAGGAAGAUGAAUGAUGUAGCCCGUAGGUUUAGAGUAAACAGCCCGUAGGUUUAGAGUAAACAGUCCGUAAGUUUAGAGUACACGCUUUGAGCAAUAGAACAGAGAAGAAAUAAGGGAUCGAGGAGAAGAAUUAGAGAUCGAAGAGACGAAGGGAAAGGGAAGGAAUCAGAGAGUUUAAAGCAAGGAGAUUUAUCAUUAAUCAAGUCUGCCUUAAAAGAUUACAAACAACUCUAUUUAUAGAGGCAAAAUCCUUUUUAGUCUAGGAAAAGGAAAAGUAAACUUUAAGAAAUAGGAAAGCAAAUUAACUAAUAAGAGAUCCUUUAACAAGAAGGAAUCCUUAAGAAUCAGGAAAACUAAUAAGAGGAAAACUAAUCCAACUAGAAGUAGGAAAACUAAUAAUAUGCAUUCUGCAUCAUUCUCCCCCAUCGAAAAAGAACUCGACACCGACGAGUAAACCAAGAUUAUGGAUGACGACGUCGUUUGUAAGUACGGAUGAUGGGAGGACGGGAUGCAGCCAAAUCCAGAUCAUGAAGAGCAUCUCGAUAACUUUGCAGAAGAGUAGAAUCCAACUGGCAAAAUUCAGCUUCUGUAAUCCAAGUAUCCUCAGUAGCAGGCCUUCCAACCCAACGAACCAGAUAACGGGUAGAACCUCCAGUAGACGAGGCCACAACUUCAUGAUCCAAGACGUCCUCAAUCUGAUCUGUAGGGACAGAACUAGUAAAAGGAAUACGCGGCACCAUAGGAGGAGUGGAACCCUGAGCAACAUCUAUAGAAAUAAGUGGAGAAAAGGUGCCCCGAUAAGGAGAUAAAUCAGAAACAUUGAAAAUGGGACUUAUAUGCAUAUCUGCAGGCAACUCAAUCAAAUAAGCAUUGGACCCAAGCUUCUUAAUGAUACGAUAAGGACCCAUCGAACGAGCAUGAAGCUUCUUGAAAGAGUGCUUAGGAAAACGUUCAGGACAAACCCGCACCAUAACAAAAUCCCCUUCUCGAAACUCCUGUUGACGACGAUGAGCAUUGGCUGCCAGUUUAUAAGUGUCUGUGUGCAUGGAUAUCUGCCUACGGACGUCAUCAUGCAAUUGCCUAAUAUGUUCAGCAAACGACGUAGCAGAAUCUGAGGUGCGGGCAGCCACAGGAAGAGCAACUAAAUCAACAGGUGAUCGGGGAGAAAAUCCAUGAACCACCUCAAAAGGACUCUUACCGGUACUUCGAUUAACUGAGUUGUUAUAAGCAAACUCAGCCACAGGCAACAAGAGAUCCCAAUUGCCAGGUUUAUCCCCAACUAAACAGCGGAGUAAAUCACCAAGGCUGCGAUUAACCACUUCAGUUUGACCAUCUGUUUGGGGAUGGAAAGCAGAAGAAAACUUCAAAGUAGUACCGAAAAGCUUCCACAAAGUCUUCCAAAAAUAACUAACAAAUUUGACGUCACGAUCAGAAACAAUGGAGACAGGGAGGCCAUGCAAACGGACUACUUCCUUAAAAAAUAACUUGGCCACAUAAGAAGCAUCAGUAUUUUUUGCACAAGGCAGAAAAUGUGCCAUUUUAGAAAAACGAUCAACUAUGACAAAGAUAGAGUCAUAGCCGCGACUAGUCUUAGGUAAACCAAGCACGAAAUCCAUACUAAGAUCCUUCCAUGGUGUAUGAGGUAUUGGUAGAGGGGUAUAUAAACCUGUGUUACGCUUGCGAGCUUUAGCUAGCUGGCAUGUGCGACAUUGGGAGAUGAGAUGAGCAACAUCACGUUUUAAUGACGGCCAAUAGAAACGAUCUUCUACCAAGGCAAUAGUCUUAUCUUUGCCAAAAUGUCCUGCGAGGCCGCCACCAUGUAAUUCCCAAACAAGGAAUUCACGGAGAGAAGUACGGGGAAUACAUAAUUGUGUUCCUCGAAAUAAGAACCCAUCCCUCGUAAUAAAGUCUACAUACUCGCGGCGGUUACCAUUGGAAACUUCAUGAAAAAUAAUUCCAAAAUCUGGACAAGAUGAAUACUCAGUCUUAAUGCGAUCAAACCCGGUUACUUGAACUGUCAUUGUGUGCAAAAUAGUAGCCACGCGACUAAGGGCAUCAGCUACCUUAUUGUCAAUGCCUGGACGGUGUCGUAAAACAAAUGUAAAGAUCUGGAGAUAUUCGGACCACUUAACAUGUCGACUGCUAAUGGUUCGUUGAGAGUGGAGAUAUUUCAAAGCUUGAUGAUCUGAAUACAACACAAAUUCGUUUGGCAGUAGGUAAUAUUGCCAAUACCGAAGUGCUUGUACCACAGCAUAAAACUCCUUAUCAUAAGUAGAAUAACGUUGCUUUGCUUCAUUAAGUUUCUCACUAAAGUAUGCUACGGGAUGUCCUUCUUGGCUAAGCACACCACCAAUCCCAACUCCGGAAGCGUCACAUGCGACUUCAAAGACUUUAGAAGAACAGGCGCUUGAGUCAUCUUCUGUUUCAAAAUUGUAAAGGCCUUGGCAGCUGCAUGGGUCCAAAGAAAAGCUCCUUGUUUCAUACAAUCAGUUAUUGGUGCCAUAAUAGUACUGAACCCUGGAAUAAAUCGUCGAUAAAAAGAGGUGAGACCAUGAAAGCUGCGUGCCUCUGUCAAAGUCGUGGGUGUUGGCCAAUCAAUAAUAGCCUCUACCUUGGCAGGAUCUGUGCUAACCCCAGCUGCAGAAAUAUUGAACCCCAAGAAUAAAACUUCAGGUUGAAGAAACGAACAUUUUUUUAAGUUGGCAUAUAGUUUUUCCUUCCGUAAAGUAGAGAAUAUCGUCCUAAGAUGUUGGAGAUGUUCCUCCCGAGAGCGGCUGUAGAUCAGUAUGUCAUCAAAAUAGACUACCAGGAAUUUACCAAUAUAAGGUCGUAACACAUGAGUCAUCACCCGCAUGAAUGUGCUGGGUGCAUUGGACAUGCCAAAGGGCAUCACAAGCCACUCAUAUAAUCCAUCAGGGGUUUUAAACGCGGUUUUCCACUCAUCUCCUUCACGAAUACGAAUUUAAUGAUAGCCACUGCGAAGAUCUAUCUUUGAAAACCAUUGGGAACCCGCCAAAUCAUCCAACAUAUCCUCAAGUCGCGGUAUGGGGAAACGAUACUUAACUGUAAUUUUAUUUACGGCGCGACUAUCUACACACAUUCGCCAGGAGCCAUCCUUUUUGGGGGUAAGGAGGACUGGAACAGCACAAGGACUUAAGCUAUGACGAAUAAAGCCCUUAGCCAGCAAUCCCUGAAUUUGUCGAUUCAAUUCCACUCGCUCAGGUGGAUUCAUACGAUAAUGGGGGAGAUUAGGAAUUUGCGAACCAGGAACAAGGUCAAUUGCAUGCUGAAUCUCUCUUGCUGGAGGUAGGUCGUCGGGUAAGUCAUCAGGUAUGACAUCAGAGAAUUCAGUGAGGAGCUGUUGUAUAGGGUCGGCAAGUGGAGUGGUGUAGUCAGAUGCCAGUUUAAGCAAGAGGGCAAAGACCACACCAGUUUCUUGCAGUUCAUAUGCAAAGUCUACCGGUGAUAAAAGACUCAAUCGAUGCUCCAAAGCCUUCUCUUUAAUUGACAGGUUUGUUUGAACAUCCUUAGUUGGUUUGAUGGCCGGAUUGGAAGGCUUUAACGUUAUGUUCUUUCCUUCAUGUUGAAAAGUAUAGGUGUUCUCCUGGCCGCAACUUUUCACAUGACGAUCAUAAAGCCAAGGCCGGCCUAGGAGCACAUGUGCGACACUCAUAGGUAAGAUAUCACAAUAAAGUUGCUCGUGACAGGGACCCAAUUGAAGAGGAACAAGACAUCUUUGGGUAACAGGUAAUCUGGUUUUAUCAACCCAACCAACAUGAAAAGGAUGAGGGUGUGGCUCGGCCUGAAGGUGAAGGCGAUCAACAGCAGUUUUAGAGAUAACAUUCAGCGUACUUCCCCCAUCAAUAACUAGUUGGCAUCUAUUGGUACCGCAAGGGACAUAGGUUUGAAAGAUACUUGUACGCUUCCAUGAAUCAGGAGGUGGAGAUGUAGGUGUUGAAUAAAUACAACGCAUAACACUCAGUUGGUGAAACGCUUCCUCCUCACAGCAAUUAUCAAGUUCUGGAUCAUAAACAGGUUCAAGGGGCUCCACAUACUCGUCCACACAAGAGUCUUCAUUGAGGGAGCCAAGGGUUAAAGUUCUAUGGGGACAACGGGAGGCGAUGUGGCCCUUAGCGUGGCAACGAUAGCAUUCGAUAUGAGAAGCCAUGGAUGAGGCUGGUCCUUUGUCUGUUGCAGGUAUUGUAGGAGCAAGUGGACCGGCAACGCCAUAUUUAGAGCUAGGAGCACUACGGUUUGGAGUAAGAGUGGAAGAGUGCCUAGAAUGCCCUGUGUAUCGACGUUGUGGACGCAAAAAAGUUUCAGCUUCCAAUGCGUGGCAAUAUGCAUCUUCCAAAGUAUGCGGACGGAACCUCCGAACUUCACGUUUGACAUCGUCACGAAGACCAUGGAUAAAGCGGGACAUGGUGAUGUCGGGUUCUUCACGAAUCCCUGCACGUAUCUUGUGUUCGAUAAAACGAGCAUGGAAAUCAGUAACGGGUAAACUUCCUUGUGAAAGGGUCCAUAAUUGGUCAUACAAUUGAUGGCGAUAAAAGGUGGGAAGAUAUUGUUCGCGAAGCUUUAAUUUCAUCUCGUCCCAGAGAGUCACAGGUGGCUGUCCAAAUUGGUAUAGUUGCUCUUCCACGGAAUUCCAAUAUUGGCGAGCGGCUCCUUGUAGCGUCAUCUUACCAAUGCGAAGCUUAUGAGCAUCCGUCAAAUCAUACCAGGCGAAAUAAUCUUCCAUGGCUUGAACCCAAUCAAGAAACAUCGUGGGAUCCCCACGACCAUCAAAAGUAGGAGCGGUAGGCUUGAUGUGGUGGAUGACAUCGUUGUCAAAAUGGCGAGGGGGAUGAGUGCCGUGAUCAUGUGGGACUGUCGAAGGGCCCGUUGUAUGUUGGGUAUAAUGGGCCGGUGCCAAAGACCCAAAAGAAAAGGGGGGGCUCCAAUUGAGCCUUGGGAUCAUCAAGCGAGAGCCCAGUGGAGCUAGGAGGCAUGCCGUAUGGCACGGCCUUGAGUUUGUGAUCCACCGGUGGAUUGGGCAGAAGGCCACUCUUUGGUGGUGGCGUAGAGGAACUCGAGAGCAAGGCGGAGGUAGAAGAAGGUUCAGCAUGUCCAGCCCGAAAAUGAUUGAUAAGCAACUGAACGGAGUCUUGGAGUUUGGUGAUGGCCAGGUCCGUCUUCGCACGAUGUGUGGAAGCCUGUACCAACUCGUCUUUGAGGUCAAUGCUGAGGUUGGAAAGUUGGGUCUCCAUGCCAGCGAUAUCGUCAGAAACUUUGUCUUGGAACGCAUGAAAUUGUUCGGAAAGGCUGGCCACGGUUUGGGGCGCCAUGGGAGAGAGCAAACGGAAACGAAAGCGAGGGCAGGCUCUGAUUACCAAUUGAUGUAGAACAGCCCGUAGGUUUAGAGUAAACAGUCCGUAAGUUUAGAGUACACGCUUUGAGCAAUAGAACAGAGAAGAAAUAAGGGAUCGAGGAGAAGAAUUAGAGAUCGAAGAGACGAAGGGAAAGGGAAGGAAUCAGAGAGUUUAAAGCAAGGAGAUUUAUCAUUAAUCAAGUCUGCCUUAAAAGAUUACAAACAACUCUAUUUAUAGAGGCAAAAUCCUUUUUAGUCUAGGAAAAGGAAAAGUAAACUUUAAGAAAUAGGAAAGCAAAUUAACUAAUAAGAGAUCCUUUAACAAGAAGGAAUCCUUAAGAAUCAGGAAAACUAAUAAUAGGAAAACUAAUAAGAGGAAAACUAAUCCAACUAGAAGUAGGAAAACUAAUAAUAUGCAUUCUGCAUCAAUGAACUUUGUGGCUCCACUGGUGCCAACAAAAGAAGGCGCAUUGCUGCAACAAACUGCAUUCAAGGUCUGUAGAUAGAUAGAUAGACUGAGAGAAGCAUGGAGAAGCCGGAAGUUGUACAUAGACCGCUCCCCAGUAAAGAUGAAGACAAGGCAAAGAAAAGCAGAAUUGACCAACUUAUAGAUUAGUGAACAAGGAAAUAGCAUAAAACCGAUGAGUACGAAGUGCAAAUCCUUUGUUUAUUAUGUAUUUUGUGUUUAUAUUGGUCAUGUGUCAUUUGCUGAUGGAUGUUGCAUUUUCAAGUACCUUGACAAUGUAAACAAUUUCACAGUACCCAUUUUUUGAUUUAUUCUGACGAAAAAAGCACACACACAUAUAUAAAUAUAUGUAUGUAUAUAGCAAGCUAAGAAUAAGAUGAGUAAAUUACAAAAUGGAGAAGCAUUAGAUUGAGACACUGUUGGGAAUCCCCUUGCCAGUAAGUCCAGCCUCACUAGAAGGAUGAAGCAAAGUGUAUGGCAUCUUGGCCGGUCCAACCCGGUUCUUCAAUUUCUCAUCCUUGUUCAUUCUUUUCAUGUUUUCCUCAAUUUCUUCCAGCUUCUUUCUAAACUUCUUAGAGGCUUGCAAUAUGUCAUUGUCUGCUGUCCAUUCUGGCGCAUCUCUCUGCCCCAAAUAAAGCUCAUCAGCUGAGUGUCUUGACAAGAUUUCUAUGGAGGCCAUGCCAAGAAGGGUCUGCAGCUGAGGUGUAAUUGUUUUCAAAAAUGCCUUUUCAGGGUUUGUCUUGAGCUCCUCAUACUCAGGAGUGCCUUCUUCGGGCAUGAACUGCAGGCUUAUGCUUGGCCGGUUUGGGGGGUAUCCACCAAAAGGGUAUUGCCCAAAAUUGAUUGCUGCAUGAUGGGCUGAAGCAAUCCAUAUGAUGAUGGUGCAUGAUUCUAUCAGCUCUUCACAAGUCUGCAUUUUAGGCCACCAUGGCUCAUCUUUUUUGUCACCAUGACCUUCCUCUCUGAGUUCCUUCCACCAGGACUGAAGUUCUGAGUCCUUUUGAACCAUUUCAUCAGUUUUAUAGUAGAAGGAGCAAUAGUCCUUAACCCAUGUUUUAAUUGCAGACCAGAUCUCAAGCCCAUCAGCAGCAUAUGGAUAGUCCUCUAUCAGUAAGCGUACACCAUGUGAGGAAUUUGGAUCUUCAACUGCCAUUCCUCUGAACAGAGAAAAGAUUAAAUAAAUAAUGGCCAUCAAUCCUAUCAUCUUUGUUAUUUUUGAGUUUAAACAAUAGUGACAACAUUUAUCAAAUCAUUUAGACCAAAUUUUAUUCAUACAUAUGGCAUUGUGUCUUAGCUCUUAUUUCCUCAAAGGGCAUGCUUUUCCAUUUCAAUUGUGUUGAAUCUGUUACCAUAAUUCGGAAAUGAUAAAUGUUACUAUCAGAAGAUUUUACCUUUUGAUCAGAUCUAUGGGGAGCGCUUGUUCAGGAAAAACCCAGCUCUUAUACAUUACAGAAGACCAUUCCAUUGAGAACUUUGCAGGAAAGACUGUUGCCUCUAGUAUUCCUCCAGCAUUAAUGAGAACCUGUCGAGCGACUGCAUUUACAUUCAUAGUGUCACGAAAGUGAGGAUGCAGAAGCUUAUGAAUUGGGUGCAGCACGCUCAACUGCCUAUUUGUGGCUAUCACAAAUGGUUCCAUCACCGCAUGAGUUCUCAACCUGCAACAAAACAAGAACAUUUCAAGAUGCAUUUGGGAGAAAUAAAAAGGUUAUGAAUUUAUUUGCUAGGAUUUCUUUAACAUUGUUAUACCAGUGGCUGAUGAGCUGAUGAUAGCCAGAGUCAUUUACAUUCACAUAAGCUUUAGCAAGUUGCCAAAUGGAACUCUCGACACCCUGGCUAGACGGAGUAUAGACUUUGCUAAUGCAGCCAAAUUGAUCUCCACCAGGAUGUGGCAAGCUUAACUCAAUAGCUAAUGGCUUCAAAGUCCCAUCAUUCUCUAAGAAAAGGAGUGUCCUGCUUGCAUAAGUUUUUGUGGAAGUUGUGUUUAUACGCCUCAGGUACGGCAUCAAUGCAUCAUGGUGGUCUAAUAUGAAUAGCUUCUUGUUCUUGAUUGCCUAUUACAGAAAAUGCUUUUCAGUAAUUAUCUUCAAAUAAGAAUAUAUGAUUGCAAAGCCACCUGAGGACUACUAGCUUCAAACUCAAUUUUGAAAGAAGCAACUCAAUGGUAUUACCUCAUCUAUGCUGAGUCCAUCUAAGUUAUGUCCUAUGUGUUCUUUGGUUAUUUGACUAGUUUGAUCCCCAUAUAUGUUUUGGUCUAGCUUGCUAGCAGGUGGAAAUUCCUGCAGUUUAUUUAGAAGUAAUGACGAUUAGGAUGUAGAAUCAGAGUAAAUAUAAUUCAAAUGUAACUUCUCUUCUGUUCCAUUUUCUUCAAAAACAACUGUAGACAACAGAUAAUGAAAGCUUAGGAUUACUUGGAGACGACGUAUGACGACAGGAUUUAUUCCAGCCAGCAUUUCUCUUGCAAAUUCUUCAUCAGUUUUCCAUGCUGACUUAUCCACUAACACAAUACAAAUCAUUAGAAACCCAGUAAGCAGUAUAUUAAGGAACGGAGAAUGAAAGAUCUUAUAUUUAGGAAAAUAAGUUUUCCAAAAAAAUCAAAAUAUUCAUUAAAGUCAUAUUAUGAGUAGAAAGUGACUGCCUUAAUAUGUACCUUUGAUCACUUGAGGCACUGGGAAUUUCAGGAAUUUUUCACCAUCCGUUCGGAAAAGUUCCUUGAUCGUCUCUGCAGGGAUGUUAUCCCUUACAGAUUUUAGUAUACCCUCAGGCAACUCUAUUCCUCCUUCAUAGAGUUUAAGAACAUCUUCCAAGCUGUCAAAAUGUUUUUGGGGGCCAACAAGUAUAGAUGCUAGCUCAUCAGGUCUAAGGAGCUGAGAUAUGGAUUUCAGGGCAUAAGCAAUCAAGUCUGACAUCUUUAAGUGACCAAACCGUUCAUCUCUCGGAACAUAUAUGAAUAAGCUCAAAAGAAGCAUCAUCGGGGUCUCACUUUCAGGAUCUGUUAUGAUGAAAGAAGAAAAGUCUUAACAAUAAACCUUUCUUCUUGAAUACUUUCACAGCAAUAGAGAUCCAUAUUCCUUGUUUGUCAUUGUUAAAGAUUGAAAAAAAAAAUUACCAAGUUUUGAGUAGUGACUGAGAAAUGAAGUUAAUUGACUGACCUUCCUUAGUUGGUCGUCUUCCUGUUCUUCCCCUCCGAGGAUAAGGGAACUUACUCGAGCCACCGAGAAUUGGACGGGCAUAUUUUGGACCCUUAUGCGGUUUCCCCAAAUCAUUAUAGUAGGCAUAGCCAUAAACCCUGUCCCAUUCCUGAAGUUCUGUUUCAUCAUCAUCAUCUCCUCUCAAGUUUACUAGCUCUUCUUCUCUGAAUUUCUUUAGUGGCCCUGGUGUAUCACUUAAAAGAUAUGUCUGCACAAAUAUAUAGUUUAAUUUGUAAUUGAAAUGACCCUUUACAAUAUUACCAGCACAACAUAGCAGUCUAUCAGCAAAAUCAGUGUGUUUUUCACCUGUACUUCACUCUUUAAGAGAAAGUUACAUUAAUUCUUCAACUGCAUUAGAAGUUAGAACUUUAUGCUUUCAUCCUAUAAAUAUACCUUGUUAGCGAAGAAAACACGGUCUUUUUUGUAGUUUUUAGCAGGAUACACCCAUGAGUUGCAGACAAAGUGGAUUCGACCUUCUCCAGGAACAUCUUCAAGUGUGAGAGUCUUCAAGUAAAACUCACUGUGAUGAUCAUUUCUUAUUAUGAAUGCUCCUGGGACUCCAAUCUCCUCAUCCCAAUCAAAAGUAACCUCAAAUGUACACUCCCCUGCUGUUAAGGGAGUGAUUGUGGUAACCCAAUCUUCCAAAUAUGCUGGCUUUCCAACUUUUCCACGCCCAUUUUCUACCAAAAUGAAAUAAAAUGAAAAAAAGAAAAUGAAAACACAUCAUACUCAAAAACCAAUCAACAAAUGUUCAAUUAUGAGACCUCAAAAUUUGUGGGCUUUUAAAAUAAAAUUAAAAAAAUUCUAAAUUGAGAUGUUCUCCUUUAUCUUUUGGGGUUCUGGUAUUAAGAUAUAAAGCAACAUUCUUUAAUAAAUAAUUACAUACUUAUUCAAAGGAAAACCAUUGAAGCUAAUUAAUGAAGAAGUAAACUAGAAGCCACAUAUCUAUAAUCAUAAAGACAGAAUAGUAUUCAAUACUCACCAGGGUCACCAUUAACAGAACUAAUGAGCUGCAGAGAAACCACUUUGCCCCACAGCUCAUGAACACGAUCAAGAAACGAUGCUUUGAGGUCAUUUAACUCCAAAACAUUCUUCUUCAUCAACACCACUCUCCCUUUGAUCUUCUUGCCUCCGUCUUUGGGGUGUGGAUCAACGGUGAUGUUCUGGGACGGCUUGGCAGAUGAAGCCACAGUCAACGGUUGAGAUCGUGCAACAUCAGUCAUGCGCAAGAAACCAGGGAAGAAUUUCAUAGUCAUAGGCAACAAGCCAUUGGGUGAAGUGGCAUGAUCUGGAUUGUUGAUUGUUGCUGCUGCAACAACUGAGUUCAUCCGAGCUCCACAGGGAGCUUUUGUCCUGAAGCUCAAAGGACUGAGAUACUUGCAAUGAAGCAUCUUUGUCUGCUGCUUCAAGAAAGAACUGAGAAAAUUUAAUAAAAGAAGGUUUUGAGGAUCUCAGUCAGUGUGAAGAAUUAGUGAGAGAAGGUGUGGUAUUUAUGGGAAGUGUGAUGUGAGCUCACUGUAUCAGUCUUUAUGAAAUCCUAGUCAUACUGAUUUUACAGCUUUUGGCCUCAAGUUCUGGUCUUUAAACUUCACCAACUCAAUCUUAUGUUGUUCUCAUCAUGACCCAACAAUAAAUAAAUAAAAAUUCUUUUUAUUUGUUCUAUUGCAUUUGCAGGGGUUGACUUAAAAGACCCAGACUUUUCCUAUUGUUUACAGUUGUAUGUCAAUUUUGGAAUUUGAUGAUGAUGAUGACGAUGGUUCAAGGCAGCUUCAACCCUCUUUUUUUACCAAACCGACAAAUAUAGACAGAUUUAUGCAAGAUUUCAAUUACAUACUUUCUGUAGAUUCUGAAUAAAAAUGGCUUGCUGAAUUUUCUAAUAUUAUCCAUUUAGUUAUUAAAAAAUACACCGCCAAUACAUUAUACAUACAUAAGGGUUUGCUGGCCCCAUCACAAAUGACAGAUUAUGCUCGAUCCACACACCGUAAGUUAUUCUGUGCCAAAAAAUAUUAAUAUAUACAGAUUUUUGGAAGUGGGCAUAAUGUCAAUGGGAAACGCUAGAGAAUUUACAUUCAAGAGGUUGCAAAAGUCUUGCCAAAGCCAAUUGUGUUUCCCAUGUGCCACAUCAUCAUUCAUGACAGGUCAAUCAGUAAAGUAGGUAGACUUCAAAGUAAUUUACUAGGAAAGUGCUUGGAAUGACUUUUCUUGAACAAAUUGCUGAUUAAAUUUUAAUAUUGUGAUAAGAUGAAGCCAUAUUGAGCUUUCACAUUAGAGUUUAUAGUCAAGCCAUAUGGUAGAAGAUGACUGAACUUUUUCUUUUCUUGGAAUUGUUAAGGUUUCACCUACCUAAGUAGUAAUCUUUUAUUCAAAAUAUCAUAUAAAAUGUUGUUACUAAUGAAUUUUUUUAACGGUAAUUUAACAUAAUGUACAACAUUUGCUAACGGAGUAAAACACAGGAACUAAAUUGGCCAAAUUAAAAACACAUGAAUUAAAUUUGCCAAAUAUACAAAAUACAGAGACCAUUUUAACAUUCAAGCUUUAAUUUUAUGGAAGUAGUUGACUGUUUAAAUUUUAUAUUAUUUUUGCUUUUACUUGGUGAUGAUUUUCAUUUAAUUUUUGAACAGAAGAGACACAGGCAACUUAUUCUAUGGAUUUGCAGGCAUGCUGAGAUUGAGAUUAGGCGCUUAUGCAUAUUGUCAUGGAUGAUUUCAAAGACGCUUUUGCUGCUCCCUCUCAAAUAUGCUUAUUAAAAGUAAGGCUUAAAAUUCUGAUUUUCAUACUUUCCAAUAUCUUGGAUGAAAUGUUGAUAUUGCAUAUGCCUAGGCUGUUGCUGCAGAAUUUGAAAGGCAUGCAAUGAAGCUAAUGAACCAAUGAAUACAGUGUUAUUUAUAUAAAGAUAUUGUAGCCAAGCAAUUUACAAGGCCUUAUUGCAACUGUAAUAUUCUAGCUUAUUACACACAAAGAAUGCAUUAUACUACUUAAUUAUAUAUAGUAAUUGCAACUUGCAUUAUACUAAUUAGCUUUAGUCUAUAUACUAGCUUGAGAGGCUUAGAUUGAGACACUGUUGGGAAUUCCCCUGCCAGUUAGUCCUCCUUCGCUAGUAGGAAACAGCAAAGUGUAUGGCAUCUUCACCGGUCCAACUCGGUUCUUCAGUUUCUCAUCAUUGUUCAUACGUGUAAUUCUGUCCUCAAUUUCAGCCAGUUUCCUUCCAAAUUUAUCAAAGGCUUUCAAUGGUUCUGUGUCUGCUGUCCACUCAGGAGUGUCUCUCUGCCCCAAAUACACUUCAUCAGUAGAAUGCCUCGACAGAAUUUCAAUGAGGGCAAUGCCAAGCACUGUCUGCAGCUGAGCAGUAAUUGUUUUCAAGAAAACUGUAUCAGGGCUGGAUUCGAGCUCUUUGUACUCAGGAGUCCCCUUCUCAGGCAUGAAUUUUCGGCUUAUAGUUGGGCGGUUGGGGAGGUAUCCUGCAUAAGGGUACUGUCCAAAGUUGACGGCUGCAUGGAGAGCAGAAGCAGUCCAUAUGAUGAUAGUGCAUGUUUCUACUAGGUCUUCGCGAGUCUGCAUUUUAGGCCACCAGGGCUCAUCUUUUUUGUCACCAUGGCCUUCCUCUACAAGCUCCUUCCACCAGGAUUGGAGUUCAAUGUCUUUUUGAAUUAUGUCAUCAGUCUUGUAGUAGAAAGAGCAAUAGUCU
rnacentral:lncRNA from 1 species